rnacentral:misc_RNA from 1 species
UUUCCGUAGGUGAACCUGCGGAAGGAUCAUUACCACACCGAUCCAAGAUCUUUCCACAAUGUGAAUUCUGUAUGGAUCCGUGCACGGCAACACCGCAACGGCAUGUUGCUGUUGCUGUUGCUGUGUGCGUGUCUGUAUCAACAACCAACAAACCAAAACAACCAAAGAGUGUUUCUUCUUUUUCAUGAGAAAAACUAUGGGUAACCUGAAUGGAACCAAAGGACCUGAAGAACAAAUGGGUGGUGGUGGUCACGAACCGUCACAUCCAUACAAAAACCAAAUACAUACCAUUUACAACUUUCAGCGGUGGAUGUCUAGGUUCCC